AAAAGAUCAGAGGUUCAAGUAAUGAAAUGGAGCAUAAGAUUAAGGCCUGGAAGAUUUUUCACAGUUCCUGAGGAACUAAGAGCACCGUAUGAGUCCCAAAAUGGUGAUGCAGUUAUGGAGGCAAUUGUAAAGACGCGUAACGGUUCGGUUUUG